rnacentral:snRNA from 12 species
GUGCAUACCUGGCAGGGGAGAUGUUAUCAUCUUGGCCUUAAAUGACACAAGUGUUGUUAGAGGGUGAAGGCCUGUCCUUUGCACUGCGGGCAGGCUGACCCCUGCGAGAGUCUACCAAUACCUCCGAAUGCAAGGAUCUUGGCUACACAAAUUAUGGCAAUGGGGGAUUGCUUUCAGGCUUUCCCUCU